AGUUUUCAGAGGGCUAGAGUGAUUCUGCGUCCUCUGAGGUUCUCAGGAAACGAGGCCACAGGGCCAUCUGUGCGUGAGAAGAAAAGGCACCCCAGCUUAUAUGAAGACACAUGGCCUUGAACUCGUAAUAACUCACGCAUUGCUGGAAAAAAUGUGGAGUCAAAGGAUCCCUCAGUCUGCUGGUGUGACCUGGGGCACCCAUUCCUGUUCCCUCUCCUCUUACAUGGGAUAAAACCCCAGGGGAGCCGUGUCUCUGGAUCAUUGUGAUGGAUUAGCCUUGGUGUGCAGCAGUUCAUGCAGAUAAACCCAGAAGAUGAUUCCAAGCUGGACUCUUCUUUCCAUUUUGAGCUCCUGUCCUCCGCCCAUGGCUCAAAGCCCCUCUGGCUCAUGGCACAUCAGGGCAGGGUUCCCACCUGCACACCUCAAACCUUGGGAUGAAACAGUUCAUAGCUCUGGCCUCACGGAUCUUUCCCACAGCAGAGCCAGGCGAGCUUUUCUAUGGACACAGCCCAGGCCUUCAUCCCUUGCCUGCUCCCCAACUCCCACAGGCUAAGAUGGCCCUGCAGGACAGGUAGGACCUUGGCAGGCAGGACAGGAUGGGAGUGGGGAGGCUGCAGACGUCUGUAGAGCUCCAUGCUGUUCCUGGAUGCCUCCCCGUGCGUUGUCCCAUCUGGUUCCUGCUCACUUGCAGAGCUGGGCAGAUGCCAUUUCCUUUUUAGAGCUGGGAAAAGAGCCCUCUGUGACUUGUCCAUGAUCCCACAGUCAGAAAGCCUCUGAGGGAGACUGAACACAGUUCUUCUGGAUUCAAACUCUGUUCUCAUUUCCCAACCUGACUCGGCCUCUGGGUGGAGGCAGCUUCUUUAGAGAGGAUGCACAUCUGAUAUCCUUGCAGAGAAACCCUCUGCAGAGGCUGCUGGAUUGGCAAGGGCAUAGGGGAGGGGACAGGGUGGGUGCAGCCCAAGAGCACUGGAGUUCCUGGGAGGCGGGGAGUCUGUGGUUCUCUAAUGGAUGAUUUUUCUGGGGAAAAGAUGGUGUCGACUGUCCAAGCUUGGGUGAGAGGAUUUGUGUAUUGCAUCUAAAACCAAGAAAGACUAGGAUCGUCUUUGGAAUGAUUGGGAUGGUU